rnacentral:rRNA from 1 species
UUCCGGUUGAUCCUGCCGGAGGUCACUGCUAUUGGGAUUCGACUAAGCCAUGCGAGUCGAGAGGGUUCGGCCCUCGGCUGACGGCUCAGUAACACGUGGAUAAUCUGCCCUUAGGUGGAGGAUACCCUCGGGAAACUGAGAAUAAUACUCCAUAGGCCUAGGAUGCUGGAAUGCAUCUAGGCUCAAAGUUCCGGCGCCUAAGGAUGAGUCUGCGGACUAUCAGGUUGUAGUCAGGGUAAUGACCUGACUAGCCUACGACGGAUAUGGGUUGUGAGAGCAAUAACCCAGAGAUGAUAUCUGAGACACGAUAUCAGGCCCUACGGGGCGCAGCAGGCGCGAAAACUUCACACUGUGCGAAAGCGCGAUGAGGGAAUCCCAAGUGCUUGCUCGUAAGAGUAAGCUGUUUUUAUGUUUAAAACGCAUAGAGAGUAAGAGCUGGGUAAGACGGGUGCCAGCCGCCGCGGUAAUACCUGCAGCUCGAGUGGUGGCCGCUAUUAUUGGGCCUAAAACGUCCGUAGCCGGUUUAAUAAAUGCCUGGGUAAAUCGUGUAGCUCAACUAUACGAAUUCCAGGUAGACUGUUAAACUUGGGACUGGGAGAAGCUAGAGGUACUCCUGGGGUAGAGGUGAAAUUCUGUAAUCCUAGGGGGACCACCAGUGGCGAAGGCGUCUAGCUAGAGCGGGCCUGACGGUGAGGGACGAAGCCCUGGGGCGCAAACCGGAUUAGAUACCCGGGUAGUCCAGGGUGUAAACGCUGCUUGCUUGAUGUUAGUCGGGCUCCGAGCCCGAUUAGUGUCGGAGAGAAGUUGUUAAGCAAGCUGCCUGGGAAGUACGGCCGCAGACUGAAACUUAAAGGAAUUGGCGGGGGAGCACAGCAACGGGUGAGCGUGCGUUUAAUUGGAUCAACGCCGG